UAGGGGGCAAGCGUUAUCCGGAUUUACUGGGUGUAAAGGGAGCGUAGACGGCAGAGCAAGUCUGAUGUGAAAGCCCGGGGCUCACCCGCGGGACUGCAUUGGAAACUGCCAAGCUGGAGUGCAGGAGAGGUAAGCGGAAUUCCUAGUGUAGCGGUGAAAUGCGUAGAUAUUAGGAGGAACACCAGUGGCGAAGGCGGCUUACUGGACUGUAACUGACGUUGAGGCUCGAAAGCGUGGGGAGCAAA
rnacentral:rRNA from 1 species